ACCUGUUUAGUCCGUAGACACUGACCACCUUGGAUUCAUUUUCUGAUACUGUUUAUUCAAUGGUAAACUUUGUCCAACUCCUUAUCCUGCAUGGUUCCCUUCUUCUGCUCAAUCCGUUAAGACAAACACAACAUAGAUUUCUCCUGGUAUUUCCGACCUGGGAGUCGAACCUGCAACCUUCUUGCUGAGGCCAAGGUGACCUCCUCUGACUGCUCAUCCUGGGAUCAUGAGAGGACCCAGAGAUGUGCAGGUCGGAUCAGAGCCGACCCUUCUCAUCCUGGACAUGGAUUGUUUGUUCCUCUUCCCUCUGGCAGGAGGCUACGGUCCAUCCAGACCAGAACCUCCCGUCACAGGAACAGCUUCUUCCCCUCGGCCGUCAGACUGUUGAAUUUGUGAUCAGCUUUUGUUGUUUGUGGAUUAUUUUAUUUUAUUUUAUUUUAUAUUAACAGCACUUUAUUUCGAAGCACUUUCCUAGUUGGUGGAACCCCCACUGACCAUGGCAAUAAAUUCUAUUCUGAAAAUUCUAUUCUGACCACUGGUGUAGUUGGUUACAUAAGAACACAGUCAUACCUCACCAGAAUACUUUUCAUGGUUGGGAAUAGAUUAAAAAUGGGUUAACUUGAUAAUUAAAAGACAUAAAAAUAUAUAAGACAUAAAAUCACUCACUUUUCUGUGGAAGAGCUGAUCGGAUGAGAAUGAAGCCCCUUCCUAUGAUGAAAUGCAUUUUUUUUUAUUUGGCUUUCAGGCUGCGCAUGAGAAAUGGUCCUGCUGCACAUUCUAAAAUUGGACCUGGCUGUGAAUUGUGUGUGUGCCAUGCGAUGGACUGGGUGUAUUCCUGCCUCUCGCCCAAUGACUAGCAGUCCUGAACAGGACUAAGAGCUGGUUAACUGAAGAUCCUCCAGGCCUUGUGGGCUCUUGAAUCGCUUAAAGCGAUUAGAUGAAAGUGCGACCUCUGUCGAUGAAAUGUGUUACCACAACGAUGGGCUCAGGUUUUGGAUGUACUGGAUAGUUGGAAAUAGAGGUGAACAUGAAAUAGAAUAGUAAUAAAAAGGAAAAAAGUUAAUAAGAAAAACGACGUUGAUUCUUCUAUUUGAGUGAAAUAAAGAAUAUACUGCAUCAGCGGUAAAUGGGGUAAAAUUCAUGUUUUACCUAAAUACAAUGAAUUAACCCAGACCUGUAUAUGGCAACAUAAAAGUAAAUAAACUUGAUCAAUGAUGUGCUAUCGCUAUGGGAAAACCAAGAUAUAGGAAAACGCCACACUAAUUCAUUCUUUUUUUUUCUUAAAAUUUUUGUACUAUAUUUACUGCCGCUGUAGUCGAAUUGCCACACUGUGGUACGAAUAAAGGUUAUCUAAUCUAAAUUAAUCUGAAAUGCCAUGUCAUUGGACAUCUGAAAUAUCAUUGACGCACACGCAUAGACUUGCUGUUGGGAGACGAACAGUUUUAUUUUUUAAGAUCAGCAGAUGGCGCUCUUGGAUCUCUCUUUAAGAGCAGCAAUAACGGCCCACGUAUAUUUCUUUACAGUGUUGAGUGCAAUAUGUGGCUGCUUUAUGGAUGUCAUUACUUUGCUUUGGUGUUCAGUAUUGCUGAGACAAUUUCUCCAUUGAGGGAAGAACAAAGGACCAUCUAUAAUGUAAUAUAAUCUCUAAAGAACUGUAAAAAAAAAAAAAAGUUAAGGUCAGGAUAAAAACAAAGUAAACACAGGCGCAACGCCUAUUUUUAAUUUCGUACAUUGUUCAGAAAUUUCUGAAUCAAUCUGUAUUUAAAGUAAUAUCAGAUGAUGUAUUUAAAAUACAUAAAUAUACAUCAUUAUAUUUGGA